rnacentral:rRNA from 1 species
AUGGUGGUGAAGUGCCCGGUGGUGUGCGACGAGGCCGUGGUGCAGCAGCUCCUCGCUCUCAAGUGCCCCGACACGGCCACGCGCUUCGACCGUUUCCUCCUCGAGUCGUACCUCAAGAACAAUGACUCGGCGAAGUGGUGCCCGAGCAUCCCGCACUGCGGCCGCGCUACACCGAGGUGGAGUGCCCCUGCGGCCUAG